rnacentral:rRNA from 1 species
UUAAAAUUCAGUAAAUAUUGAAGAAAAUAUUUAAUAAUUAAAAAUAGACAUUUUUUUAAAUUGAACUGAAAAGGAGAUUUAUUAUUAUUUCAAAAGAAAAAUAAUGUACCUUUAGCAUAAGGGGGUUUCAAAAAAGAAUAAAAAUUUAUUUUUCUCGAACUACUUUGAUCUAAAAUUUAAAUCAAUUUAAUGUUUCAAUAUUAAAUUCAAUUGAAUUUUAGAGGUGAAAUUCUUGUCAAAAAGUAAGAUAUCUAGUUAUGAAAAAUAAUUAUAUGUUGGCCCGUAAUGAUAUUUAAUUAAAAAUUUUAUGGGUAAGUGAUUUCGGGAUAAGCUGAAAUUAAUGAAUUUAAUUAUCAUUUAAAAUAAUUUAAAGGAAUAAUAUUGUCCUCAUUAUUGUCAUAAAUAAAUUUUUACCUAAAUUAGAGUAAUCAAAAAUUAUUUUAUUAAAUUUAAUUUAAAAUUUAAAUAAAAAUGAAAGCAUUAGUAAAAUAGACAUCAAAAUUAUCUUCAAUUUCAAAUUAUAAAUUAUUAAUUUAAUCUCAAUGAAUUAGGCAAAUAAUUUCUCUGACUGUUUAAUAAAAACAACACAUUUAGAAAAAAAAAUAAAUGCAAAUCCUGCUCAAUGAAUUUUUUAAAUUGCUGUAGUAUUUUGACUAUACAAAGGUAUUGAAAUAAGAUUUUAAUUGAAUGCUAAGAGAAUGGAAUUUCAGGGAAAAGCUUUAUUGAAAUUAAAAUUUGAAGUUUUUUUAAUUUGUGCAGAAACAAUUAUUAAUAUUAAGGACAAGAAGACCCUAUGAAUUUAUUAAAUUUUACUAAUAAAUAAUUAUGUUAAUAAAAUUUUGGCUGGGGCGGCAAAAAAAUAUUAAGAACUUUUUAAUUUCAAAAUGAUCCAUUAUUAAUGAUUAUAUGAAAAAUACUCUAGGGAUAACAGCGUUAUAUUUUUUGAUAGAUCAUAUUGACAAAAAAGUUUGCGACCUCGAUGUUGGAUUAGGAUACUUUUUUAAUGAAGAAAUUAAAAAAAGAAGUUUGUUCAACUUUUAAACUCCUACAUGAUCUGAGUUUAGACCGAUGAGAAUCAGGUUGGAUUCUAUCUUAAUAAUGAAAAACUUUCAGCUAGUACGAAAGGAAUUCUGAAAUCUAAUUAUUGGGAUAAUCGACUUUAUUUGCAUCAAUUUUUGUAAU